AAAGAUAGCAGUUUUGCACUGUUUAUAUACAACCUUUGAGUGUCCAUCUUAUUUGAAAUUUUUUAUGAUUAGUAUUUUUGUUGUUAUUAGAUAAUAAAACAUGAGUAGUACUUUAUGUGUGUCUAAUUAUUAUUUGUUUUUUAUCAAAUAAGACGGAUGGUCAAAUGUUGGACAUGGAAAUUCACAAAUGCAUUUAAA
rfam:Oryza glaberrima chromosome 10 Oglab10_0118_17, whole genome shotgun sequence.